rnacentral:tRNA from 1 species
AACAAAUUAUAGUUCUAUUAGAAGAAUUUUUCAUUUACCCUGAUAAAGGUACUGUGCAAUUCAGUUAAUUUGAU